GAGGGUGUAGCUCAGUGGUAGAGUGCAUGCCUCACAUGCACGAAGUCCUGGGUUCAGUCCCCAGCACCUCCA